ACAAACUUGGUCAUUUAGAGGAAGUAAAAGUCGUAACAAGGUCUCCGUUGGUGAACCAGCGGAGGGAUCAUUGCCGGGUCGGAAGACACCAAACCGUCGCGAACCUUACCACGUCGUCGCCUCGGCGGGCGGCUCCAGGGCGGAGCCUGCCGCCCCCCCCGGGGGGGCGCCCGCCUGAGGCCCCCCCAAACCAACGUCGUCUCUAGGCUGCUCCGAGCCCCCGCGAAAGCGGCGCAAAACUUUCAACAACGGAUCUCUUGGCUCUGGCAUCGAUGAAGAACGCAGC
rnacentral:misc_RNA from 1 species